AGCGAACGCUGGCGGCAGGCCUAACACAUGCAAGUCGAACGAACCUUUCGGGGUUAGUGGCGGACGGGUGACUAACACGUGGGAACGUGCCUUUAGGUUCGGAAUAACUCAGGGAAACUUGUGCUAAUACCGAAUGUGCCCUUCGGGGGAAAGAUUUAUCGCCUUUAGAGCGGCCCGCGUCUGAUUAGCUAGUUGGUUGAGGUAAUGGCUCACCAAGGCGACGAUCAGUAGCUGGUCUGAGAGGAUGAUCAGCCACAUUGGGACUGAGACACGGCCCAAACUCCUACGGGAGGCAGCAGUGGGGAAUCUUGCGCAAUGGGCGAAAGCCUGACGCAGCCAUGCCGCGUGAAUGAUGAAGGUCUUAGGAUUGUAAAAUUCUUUCACCGGGGACGAUAAUGACGGUACCCGGAGAAGAAGCCCCGGCUAACUUCGUG
rnacentral:rRNA from 1 species